rnacentral:rRNA from 1 species
UACGUAGGCAGCAAGCGUUGUUCGGAGUUACUGGGCGUAAAGAGUCUGUAGGCGGUGCUCUAAGUUUGGUGUGAAAUCUCCCGGCUUAACCGGGAGGGUGCGCCGAAGACUGGGGUGCUGGAGUCUGGGAGAGGAAAGCGGAAUUCCUGGUGUAGCGGUGAAAUGCGUAGAUAUCGGGAGGAACACCUGCGGUGUAGACGGCUUCUGGACCAUUGCUGACGCUGAGACACGAAAGCGUGGGUAGCAAACAGG